GAGAUGGUGGCUCAGCGGUAUAGCACUCACCUCGAACGUGUGAGACCCUGGGUUCCAUCCUCAGCACCACA
rnacentral:tRNA from 1 species